rnacentral:rRNA from 1 species
UGGGGAAUAUUGCACAAUGGGCGAAAGCCUGAUGCAGCGACGCCGCGUGAGGGAUGACGGUCUUCGGGUUGUAAACCUCUUUCUGCAGGGACGAAGCGCAAGUGACGGUACCUGCAGAAGAAGCACCGGCUAACUUCGUGCCAGCAGCCGCGGUAAUACGUAGGGAGCAAGCGUUGUCCGGAAUUACUGGGCGUAAAGAGUUCGUAGGCGGUUUGUCUCGUCGUUUGUGAAAACCAGCAGCUCAACUGAUGGCUUGCAGGCGAUACGGGCAGACUUGAGUACUGCAGGGGGGACUGGAAUUCCUGGUGUAGCGGUGAAAUGCGCAGAUAUCAGGAGGAACACCGGUGGCGAAGGCGGGUCUCUGGGCAGUAACUGACGCUGAGGAACGAAAGCGUGGGUAGCGAACAGG